rnacentral:rRNA from 1 species
UACGAAGGGUGCAAACGUUGCUCGGAAUUAUUGGGCGUAAAGCGCACGUAGGCGGCUUAGUAAGUUGGAUGUGAAAUCCCUCGGCUUAACCAAGGAAGUGCAUCCAAAACUACUGAGCUUGAGUACUAAAGAGGAUCGCGGAAUUCCCGGUGUAGAGGUGAAAUUCGUAGAUAUCGGGAGGAGCACCAGUGGCGAAGGCGGCGAUCUGGGUAGAUACUGACGCUGAAGUGCGAAAGCGUGGGGAGCAAACAGG